AUUGAACGCUGGCGGCAGGCCUAACACAUGCAAGUCGAGCGAGCGGCGGACGGGUGAGUAAUGUAUGGGGAUCUGCCUGAUAGAGGGGGAUAACUACUGGAAACGGUAGCUAAUACCGCAUACUAUCGGAUGACCCCAUAUGGGAUUAGCUAGUCGGUGGGGUAAAGGUUCACCUAGGCGACGAUCUCUAGCUGGUCUGAGAGGAGGACCAGCCACACUGGAACUGAGACACGGUCCAGACUCCUACGGGAGGCAGCAGUGGGGAAUAUUGCACCAUGGGCGCAAGCCUGAUGCAGCCAUGCCGCGUGUAUGAAGAAGGCCUUAGGGUUGUAAAGUACUUUCAGCGGGGAGGCGUUACCCGCAGAAGAAGCACCGGCUAACUCCGUGCCAGCAGCCGCGGUAAUAC
rnacentral:rRNA from 1 species